rnacentral:rRNA from 1 species
AAAUUGAAGAGUUUGAUCAUGGCUCAGAUUGAACGCUGGCGGCAGGCCUAACACAUGCAAGUCGAGCGGCAGCGGGAAAGUAG